AACGAUUAACGAAUAGCCUGCCAUAAACCAAACCGAAACCGUCCCACCAGAUGCACCGACAGAGGGGCGCCACCAUCGUUUAACUCUAUAGUUUUUAAUAGUCAAAAAUUGGAACCAGCGAUCCGGCAUUGAUGGUGGCGCCCCGCCGCCAACGCCACGGAUAGGUCACGGUUGGGUCCAUACAUAAAUAUAGUGAUCUGUGGAAUGAAUAAAACAAAACACCGUCGUAUGAUUAAAAUUUCUCUCUGACCGCCGCCAGCCAGCCAUGCCACUUCGCUCCAAUCACGCCAUACAUAAGUGCCACGUAAUCACUGUUAAAAUACCACCAAGCAACAAAUAAACAGAGGAGAGGCGUACUUGUCGUGAGGAUACCAUGGGUGUGUGUUUUGUGGUAGUGUUUUCGCUGCGACAAAGAUGACGCUCUGGCAGUUCGAAAGAUCAACGACUUUGAUGUCUUCCAGGUCCAGUGAUGAUAAUAUAUUGAGGAAGCAACCACUAUAGCACCAUCACACUAAAGCGAGAUGGGUCGCUAGGCACCUAUGCUGGGACGAAACCAUGUAACCCGUGUACAUGUUACGUGCAUACACUGUAGGGCACGAAUCGGCGGGGGGAGAUCGUUCCAACAACGCGUCGCAGCGAACCUGAAGGAGCCACGAAAUGCGACUGUUCGAUGCCUCGGUGUGGAGAAAAUGUGGGUGCAUGCUCGUUUCGGAUACUUUCUAUGACCAUCAGCCCACUCCAACUUAUCAUACAGAUAUUUGGGCUUUGCUGCUACAAUAAUGCCAAACAACAUAGUGGCGAGAUGCAACCUCCUGCGCGCCUCCAUUUUAAUAAGGCCUGCAGAGUUUAAGAAGGGGGUAAUAUGUGUGCGUGGCGGCACAGUAAAACAGAAACGCGCACAUGCAUUCUGAACUCUUUGAAGCAGUUUCGCUGACCUGGCGAGUAGGCAUGGACCAUACACUGUGUCACAGUAGUUUAGUUUGGACAGUACAAGAGAUUCACAAAGUAAUAUUCUGAGUUUCUCACUAAUAUAUGGUCUAAGCCUGUACAGCACUUUUAGCCGAUAAAAGCAGCUCCUAACACACUCACUGAUAUGGCUCUCGAAACGAAGGUGGCUGUCAAAAACUAUGCCCAGGUUCCUUGCUUCCACCACUCUCUCAAUGGGCUCUCCAUUUAUAAAAACAUUGAGGGCUAUAGUACUUAGUUUUUUUUAUAUUUUUAGCAGUUCCAAAAAGCAUAAGUUUUGAUUUUUUGGGGUUUAUCACCAGGCAGUUAUUCUUGCACCACUCUGAGAUGCUCCGCAAGUCGUUGUUCACCCUGGUCACUCCAUCGGCAUGGUCUGACGGUGGAAAUGGCAGGUACAACUGCAAGUCAUCUGCAUAUAAAUGAUGAUGGCAGUGUCUUAUAGUUCCCGUUAUAUCUGCACUGUAUAAAAUGUAUAAGAUAGGGCCUAAUAUUGAUCCUUGAGGGACUCCGCGGAUUACUGGUUUCAGUGUCGAUUCCAACGUAGUACCAUCCUUUUGCUUUAGCUGAACAUACUGAUGUCUUUGUGUGAGGUAACUGUGGAACCAUUUUACAGCAGUGAUAUGAAGACCAUAGUAACUCAUCUUUGAGAGAAGAAGGGGAAUGCUGAUUGUGUCAAAGGCGCGCGAGAAGUCGAGCAACAACAUCAAUGACACUUGGCCCCUGUCCUGGGCAGCCAAGAGAUUGUCAACCACAUCAGCCAGUGCGGUUGCAGUUCCAUGACCUCUCCGGAAGCCAGACUGAUAGUGCGGGAGAAUGUCUUGUUCUUCAAGGUAUUUGGGACCCGCGACUGUUAGUCAUAUGCUUGGCGAGCCGAAAACCGUGUCAAGGUCGACCAGGGUGCGAAUUUGGUACACCUGCGCACCAUCACUCUUACGAGCAAAAAUGCGACCCCGUCUCGUCCAAGAGUAUCUCCACUGAAGCCGAUGACACUCCUCGCGCACCCGGUAGAAUAGCUGGCGAUUGAAGCGAGUCAGGCGCUCGUUGAUGUACACCCGGCCGCCGCCCU